CCUCUGAAUCUCAGUAUUUGGGGGCUGGUGCCAUUUUUGGGCUCAGCCCAUCUGUUUUGCAGAUGACCUAAUAAAUUUAUAAAUCUUUACCAAAAAAAAAAAUCAAACA